rnacentral:rRNA from 1 species
UACGAAGGGGGGCUAGCGUUGCUCGGAAUUACUGGGCGUAAAGCGCACGUAGGCGGAUUUCUAAGUCAGGGGUGAAAUCCUGGAGCUCAACUCCAGAACUGCCUUUGAUACUGGGAAUCUCGAGUCCGGGAGAGGUGAGUGGAACUGCGAGUGUAGAGGUGAAAUUCGUAGAUAUUCGCAAGAACACCAGUGGCGAAGGCGGCUCACUGGCCCGGUACUGACGCUGAGGUGCGAAAGCGUGGGGAGCAAACAGG